CCUACGGGUGGCUGCAGUGGGGAAUAUUGGUCAAUGGGCGCAAGCCUGACCCAGCAACGCCGCGUGAAGGAAGAAGGCUUUCGGGUUUUAAACUUCUUUUAUCCGGGACGAAGCAAGUGACGGUACCUGCUGAAUAAGCCACGGCUAACUACGUGCCUGCAGCCGCGGGAAUACGUAGGUGGCAAGCGUUAUCCGGAUUUACUGGUUGUAAAGGGCGGGUAGGCGGGAGUGCAAGUCAGAUGUGAAAACUAUGGGCUCCACCCAUAGCCCGCAUUUGAAACUGUACUUCUUGAGUGCUGGAGAGGCAAGCGGAAUGCGGGGUGUAGCGGUGAAAUGCGUAGAUAUACGGAGGAACACCAGUGGCGAAGGCGGAUUGCCGG
rnacentral:rRNA from 1 species